rnacentral:lncRNA from 1 species
CACCGCCUCGAUCAGCAGCAAUAACAACAGGUCACAGCAACAGCGCAUAGGCGGCAGCAGCAGCGCGUGGGUAGCAGCAGCAGCAGCGCGUGGGUAGCAGCAGCAGCAAACUCCGACAGCAGCUACAAACAGAGGGAGUAUACAUCAAAACUCACUGCGGCAGUGACGGAUUAAGAGGGUAACUUUAUCUUACUUGAUUAAUUUUAAUUCAUUCUUCUCCUAUCUAUUCAUGUGGGUCUUUAUAUCUGCCUAUUUAUAUCUUCAACCUUUGUUGUAAAACCCCAAAAAAAUUAUCCAUUUUUCAAAGUCCCAAACAAAAUAACGUUUGGUCAAAUUUGAAUAAGUACUUAAUUUUAUUUCAAAACAACCCAUGAUUUAUGAUACUGUAAAAUACUUGUGUAUAAAAGAACAAAAAGAAAGUUGUUGAAUCUAAAAGGUACAGGCCUUGCAAUUUCUUCUGUACUUUUCUUUCUUGGGUCAUAAUGUUGACCAAAUUAGUGUGAAAAUAUAGACUGGUCAACGGACAGAGAUUGAAUUUUGGUGGCUACUUUAUACAUACAUUACCGUAAAGCCAAAAAUAUUCACUGAAACGCGGCUUUAUUUUAGAAAAGUAUGUAUUCCAAUAUGACAAACGUUAAAGUUUGAAUUCCAAAAAGAUAUCUAUUCAUGUGGGUGUUCUUUCAUUUUCUAUGUUGAUGCUUGUUUUCAAAUUGGCUCGUAUUGCAGUUGACGAAUCUCGAUGUUGUUGUGUGUUUGUGCCAUGUAGUAACUAAUAAUUAUUGAAUCUUUUUCUAGUGUUGAAAGGGUUGAUUUUGCGGGAUAGACAACUGAGGAAGCUCAACAUCAAAAAAAGUUGAUACAAGCUUCUUUCAUCAAAGUAGGAGAUAAGGUUUGGUGUUUCUAAAUUUCUAAAGUUCAAGUACAAUUUCUUUUUAUAAUGUGUUUGUGUCCAUCUAGUAUUGAUACUUGGUUUAAAUUUUGUGAUAAUUAGUUUGUGUCCAUCGAGUGUUUGUAAAGCAUAAGUACCAACACUAGUUGAUCCUAUUGAUGACAACUAUUGAUUUUCUUGCAUGAUCAAUUUGUGUCUAUCUAGUGUUGACACUUAGCUUUAAAUUUAGAAAUAUUAUAUUUGAUAACCAUAAGUACCAACACUAGUUGAUCCUAUUGAUGACAAAAUUGAUUUUCU